AAAAGGCCGCUAAGUCAAAAAUUUGAAAACAAGAUUGACUUAGGCAAAAGUUAGAGCAUCCCGGUGGGUUGCAGACCUAAAGGACCAACCCAGGAAAAAUAAGGGAAAAUAAAAUGAAAGAAUAAAAGGACCAAUACUAAAAUCCUCAGCAAGAGAAAAUCCUUGUGACUGCAAACAAAAGCAAAAGGUGAGCGACUAUCGCUCCAAAUUCUCAUGGGUUCCAUAACCAUCAUUG
rnacentral:lncRNA from 1 species